rnacentral:tRNA from 2 species
GCCGGGUUGGCAGAAUGGUAAUGCGCUGGCCUUGAAAGCCAGUGGCGAAAGCCUCGCAGGUUCGAAUCCUGCACCCGGCG